rnacentral:rRNA from 1 species
CCUUCAUGAAGCCGGAAUUGCUAGUAAUGGCAGGUCAGCAUACUGCCGUGAAUACGUUCCCGGGCCUUGUACACACCGCCCGUCACACCAUGAGAGUUGGGGAUACCCGAAGCCUGUGAGCUAACUUUUAGAGGCAGCAGUCGAAGGUAGAAUCAAUGAUUGGGGUGAAGUCGUAACAAGGUACC